rnacentral:rRNA from 1 species
UAUCAUAUGGUUGGAAUAUUUUGCUCAGGACGAACGCUGGCGGCGUGCUAAUACAUGCAAGUCGAGCGGACAGAUGGGAGCUUGCUCCCUGAUGUAGCGGCGGACGGGUGAGUAACACGUGGGUAACCUGCCCUGUAAGACUGGGAUAACUCCGGGAAACCGGGGCUAAUACCGGAUGGUUGUUUGAACCGCAUGGUUCAAACAUAAAAGGUGGCUUCGGCUACCACUUACAGAUGGACCCGCGGCGCAUUAGCUAGUUGGUGAGGUAACGGCUCACCAAGGCAACGAUGCGUAGCCGACCUGAGAGGGUGAUCGGCCACACUGGGACUGAGACACGGCCCAGACUCCUACGGGAGGCAGCAGUAGGGAAUCUUCCGCAAUGGACGAAAGUCUGACGGAGCAACGCCGCGUGAGUGAUGAAGGUUUUCGGAUCGUAAAGCUCUGUUGUUAGGGAAGAACAAGUACCGUUCGAAUAGGGCGGUACCUUGACGGUACCUAACCAGAAAGCCACGGCUAACUACGUGCCAGCAGCCGCGGUAAUACGUAGGUGGCAAGCGUUGUCCGGAAUUAUUGGGCGUAAAGGGCUCGCAGGCGGUUUCUUAAGUCUGAUGUGAAAGCCCCCGGCUCAACCGGGGAGGGUCAUUGGAAACUGGGGAACUUGAGUGCAGAAGAGGAGAGUGGAAUUCCACGUGUAGCGGUGAAAUGUUUAGAGAUGUGGAGGAACACCAGUGGCGAAGGCGACUCUCUGGUCUGUAACUGACGCUGAGAGCAUAAGGCUGUAAC